rnacentral:misc_RNA from 1 species
GAUGAGAACGCAGCGAAAUGCGAUAACUAAUGUGAAUUGCAGAAUUCAGUGAAUCAUCGAGUCUUUGAACGCACAUUGCGCCCCCUGGUAUUCCGGGGGGCAUGCCUGUCCGAGCGUCAUUGCUGCCCUCAAGCACGGCUUGUGUGUUGGGCUCCGUCCCCCCGGGGACGGGCCCGAAAGGCAGCGGCGGCACCGAGUCCGGUCCUCGAGCGUAUGGGGCUUUGUCACCCGCUCUGUAGGCCCGGCCGGCGCCAGCCGACAACCCAUCAUCCUUUUCAGGUUGACCUCGGAUCAGGUAGGGAUACCCGCUGAACUUAAGCAUAUCAAUAAGCGGAGGA